UUCUAGCCCUGAUAGAAGCGGUUACCCCGCAGCUUGCACAGGACAGUGGGUGGGUUUGGAGUGUGGGAAAGCUUUAGAGUGAGGAGUAUGAGCGGAUAGCGGGGAAAAGC
rnacentral:sRNA from 1 species